rnacentral:rRNA from 1 species
AGUUUGAUCCUGGCUCAGAACGAACGCUGGCGGCAGGCUUAACACAUGCAAGUCGAGCGCCCCGCAAGGGGAGCGGCAGACGGGUGAGUAACGCGUGGGAAUCUACCCUUGACUACGGAAUAACGCAGGGAAACUUGUGCUAAUACCGUAUGUGUCCUUCGGGAGAAAGAUUUAUCGGUCAAGGAUGAGCCCGCGUUGGAUUAGCUAGUUGGUGGGGUAAAGGCCUACCAAGGCGACGAUCCAUAGCUGGUCUGAGAGGAUGAUCAGCCACAUUGGGACUGAGACACGGCCCAAACUCCUACGGGAGGCAGCAGUGGGGAAUAUUGGACAAUGGGCGCAAGCCUGAUCCAGCCAUGCCGCGUGAGUGAUGAAGGCCCUAGGGUUGUAAAGCUCUUUCACCGGAGAAGAUAAU